GCCCGGUUGGAGAGAGCGUCAUGGCUUUUCCGUUCAAGUCGGAAGGCUUCUGGGGACCGUUGUUCCGCCGCCGUGACCGGGCGC
rnacentral:tRNA from 1 species